CCCUUAGAUGUUCUGGGCCGCACGCGCGCUACACUGAUGCAUUCAACGAGUCUAAAACCUGCUCUGAUAGGGGUGGGUAAUCUUUUGAAUGUGCAUCGUGAUUGGGAUAGAUGAUUGCAAUUUUUCAUCUUCAACGAGGAAUGCCUAGUAAACGCAAGUCAUCAGCUUGCAUUGAUUACGUCCCUGCCCUUUGUACACACCGCCCGUCGCUCCUACCGAUUGAAUGAUCCGAUGAAUAUCAUGGAUUGAGGAUGCAAGCAGGUUCGCCUGUCUUCAUCUUCGAGAAGUGAAGUAAAUCUUAUCAUUUAGAGGAAGGAGAAGUCGCAACA
rnacentral:rRNA from 1 species